ACAGCAGCCUUCCCCUCUCCUUCUGUCCCGUCGGCCGUCGCCGCCGCCGCCUCCUCGUGUAGCUCCACGCCGGCCAGCCCCCCGCCUGACGUCGUCCUUCCCGCGGAUCUCCGUCGCCGCCUUCCCCGUACAGCCCACGCGCCCCCUCCACCCCCGGCCCCGCCGUCCCGGUUGAGCACUGAAUCCGCCGGCCGCCAGGUGUAGAUUGGUUUCUCGAUGGAGGCACCACCAUCGAGGCAGGAAGGAACCUAUUGGCAUGGCAAUGGUGAAGAUGCCGCUGCGGACGAUGACUCCUCCUGGUGUGAUGCUUCAGAUUCUCCAGGACAUGGUUCCAGCUUACACACAGAAUGGGCCCACUUGCAGGACCGGCUUCAUAAUAUGGGCUAUAGGGAAGGCCGAAAUAGCUACGCGGACGACAGAACACCGAACGAUUCCCGGACGAAGCAGCUCCAACCCAUAGAUAUUAAAGAACGGGCCUAAUCCAGUGGUGAGGAUGAGUUGUCGUGCACAUGUCGGCUGAAAAAGAUCGUGUGCGUAGCAUUGCUCAGGGAAGGCAUAACCGAAGGGCGGAAGGACGCUGCCCAAGAGGGCUUCAAUCUUGGGCAUAGGCAAUCUGCGCCUGAAGGAUACAAGUGGGGUCUCGUUCGGGGUAUUACUAGUGCAUUGGCUAGUCUUCCAGGCAGCCUAAAAGAAAAGUUGCUGCUAGACGCCCAGUGUAGAGGAAAAGUUGAAGAUUUGCGCAACUCUGUGCAAGAAAUUUCACCAGAGGCUGCACUGCGGAUGUUUCAUGAGAGUAUUAUUCAGGACAAUGCUCCGCUAGUGGAAAGCAGGCUUCAAACUAUUCCAAAUGAUCUGCCCAGAUGUUCAAGUUCCUGAAGAGUUGAAACGAGCUCCGUAAGCAAGGCAGAAAAUGCUAGUUUUCAUCAGCUGGCUUCAGCAAAAUGCACUCAAAUCUACUCAACCGAAGGGCCUGAUCCACUCCUCAGAGUUGCUAUGACCUGCUUCUGUUAAUGGGAUGUUAACUGCAUGCUGAUAUGUCCUUUGAUGGUCCAUGGUAGUUAUUGGACUGCACACCAUACAAAAAAUGCUAGUUUGCAUUGGCUGGCUUCAGCAGAUGUACUCAAAUCUGCUCAACCGAAGGGCCUGAUCCACUCCUCAGAGUUGCUAUGACCUACUGCUGUUAAUGGGAUGUUAACUGCAUGCUGAUAUGCCCUUUGAUGGUCCAUGGUAGUUAUUGGACUGCACACCAUGUCAGUAAAUUGUCUGCUUCUAUUUCUGUUACAGGGGUUGGUGUGAUUGGAACAUCAAGCUGUUGGUUUUGAGUGUUAAUGCCAUCUAUUCAUGGUGAUGCAUGCCUCAGGUUGGUGAGAGCAUCAAACCGUGUAUCCGUU